GAAGUGCCAAGGGCUUCUGUAGCCUGGCACCUGGUGAGAACAGCCUGAGGCCAAGGUGAGGAAGCUGUCGCCACCUCAGAGGAACUUAACAGUCAUAUUCUUUCCUGAUUCUGUCAAGUGUCCUUGAGGGACUGUGCCUAAUGUAAGGGAUGAGUUUGUGGUGGGAUGGUACAAGCAGCCUGUGGAGGCCCCCUUUCCUUCCGACCACCCAGAUCACAAGGGAUGUGGAGUGUUCCUGUCCUUGGAGUGAGGCAUAAAGCAGCCAGAAUGGACUCAGACACUGCCAUUCGGAAUACAUUACAAAUACUACACCAUUUACUCAUUGCCACAAACCUGGGAGGCAGCUAUGGUUCCCACCUCCACCUGAAAAUACUGAGGGCUGGCUGAAACAAGGGAACAUCACUCAGACAGGAAGUAGUACAGGAAAGCAGAAUUUGCUAAUCUCAGAUAUUGCUCUGGUGUCAUUGAUUAUGAAUGCUUUUUGGCUGAGAAAAUUGUUCAAGGAGCAUUCCAAGUGUUGGAGAGGAAUUUCUCCAUCUGUUCUCUUUGAAUAAAGAGGAUCCUGAUAUGGUGUACAAAUA